rnacentral:rRNA from 1 species
CCUACGGGUGGCAGCAGUGGGGAAUAUUGGGCAAUGGGCGCAAGCCUGACCCAGCAACGCCGCGUGAAGGAAGAAGGCUUUCGGGUUGGAACCUUCUUUUCUCAGGGACGAAACAAGUGACAGUACCUGAGGAAUAAGCCACGGCUAAAUACAUGCCAGCAGCCGCGGUAAUACGUAGGUUGCAAGCGUUAUACGGAUUUACUGGGUGUAAAGGGCUCGUAGGCGGGAAAGCAAGUCAGAUGUGAAAACCAUGGGCUCAAACUGUGGCCUGCAUUUGAAACUGUUUUUCUUGAGUACUGGAGAGGUAGACGGAAUUCCUAGUGUAGCGGUGAAAUGCGUAGAUAUUAGGAGGAACACCAGUGGCGAAGGCGGUCUGCUGGACAGCAACUGACGCUGAGGCGCGAAAGCGUGGGGAGCAAACAGGAUUAGAUACCCCUGUAGUC